rnacentral:rRNA from 1 species
GAUGAACGCUAGCGGCAGGCCUAACACAUGCAAGUCGAGGGGUAGCAGGAUUAAGCUUGCUUAAUUGCUGACGACCGGCGCACGGGUGCGUAACGCGUAUGCAACCUACCUUAUACUGGGGUAUAGCCCGGAGAAAUUCGGAUUAAUCCCCCAUAGUACUAAUGAAUCGCAUGGUUUAUUAGUUAAAGCAUUGGGGUAUAAGACGGGCAUGCGUCCUAGUAGCUAGAUGGUGAGGUAACGGCUCACCAUGGCUACGAUACAUAGGGGGACUGAGAGGUUAACCCCCCACACUGGUACUGAGACACGGACCAGACUCCUACGGGAGGCAGCAGUGAGGAAUAUUGGUCAAUGGACGCAAGUCUGAACCAGCCAUGCCGCGUGCAGGACGACGGCUCUAUGAGUUGUAAACUGCUUUUGUACAAGGGUAAACCCCGGUACGUGUACCGGGCUGAAAGUACUGUACGAAUAAGGAUCGGCUAACUCCGUGCCAGCAGCCGCCGUAA